AUGGCCUGGACCCCACUCGUCUUCCUCACCUUCCUCCUUCACUGCCCAGGGUCCCUCUCACAGCCUGUGCUGACCCAGGCGCCCUCUGCGUCUGCCUCCCUGGGAGCCUCCGUCAAAAUCACCUGCACCCUGGGCAGUCAGCACAGCACCUACACCAUCGGAUGGUUUCAGCAGAGAGCAGGGAACUCUCCUCGGUAUGUGAUGUAUGUUAAGAGUGACGGAAGCCACAGCAAGGGGGGCGGGAUCCCCGAUUGCUUCUCAGGCUCCAGCUCUGGGGCUGACCGCUACCUGACCAUCUCCAACGUGCAGUCUGAGGACGAGGCUGACUACAUCUGUGGUGCAGAUUAUGGCACUGGGGGACAAUAUGGUUAA